GUCUACAGCCAUGCUACCUUGAAUAAGCCUGAUCCCAUCUGAUCUCGGAAGCUAAGCAGGGUCGGGCCUGGUUAGUACUGGGAUGGAAGACCACCUUGGAAGACCACCUAGAAGACCAAGUGCUGUAGGAG
rnacentral:rRNA from 1 species